CACGUAGGGGGCAAGCGUUGUCCGGAUUUAUUGGGCGUAAAGAGCUCGUAGGCGGCUCGGCAAGUCGGGUGUGAAACCUCCAGGCUCAACCUGGAGACGCCACUCGAUACUGCUGUGGCUAGAGUCCAGUAGGGGAGCGUGGAAUUCCUGGUGUAGCGGUGAAAUGCGCAGAUAUCAGGAGGAACACCGGUGGCGAAGGCGGCAUCCUGGACCGGCAUUGACGCUGAGGCGCGAAAGCCAGGGGAGCAAACGGG
rnacentral:rRNA from 1 species